ACCCGCAUGAUAAAAGUAAUGGAAAAUCCGGACAAUGACAUUCACUUGGACAAUUCUGGUAGGACCUCCUCUCUCAAAACUUAGUAUAACGAAUUUUCGCUGAACAUUUUUUCUCUUUUAAGAAGUCAAAUGCGGUCUGAAAUCCAUGUUGUGUUUUCAUCAUGUUUGAUGCUCAAAGAGGUCCAGGUGAACUGCCAGGAGAAGAUGGAGGUGUGUGAGGAGAGCACAGAGAACUCUCAGAUGGACACUUUGGGAAAGAGGACAUCUGACCUGGAAGUGGUCAUUAAGAGGACCCGGAGCGGACGCGUCACCAGGUCCACCCUGGUCAGUGCCCCCCAAAAACGCACAACCAUAUCUAACUCCUACUGGUUCUGUUCAAAUGGAAGACAUCUUUGUAUAACGUCAUGUAAAAAUGAUCAUGGAGGAUGUAUAUCUGUGGGACUAGUGUAUCUGACUAGCUUCUCAAACACUUCCCUGCAGUCUGUGAUUUACUGUCUUUGUUCUGUGUGUGUGUGCGCAGGAGAGAAAGGCUGA
rnacentral:lncRNA from 1 species